ACAGGGAUUGCCCUAGUAACGGCGAGUGAAGCGGCAACAGCUCAAAUUUGAAAUCUGGCUCUUUUAGAGUCCGAGUUGUAAUUUGCAGAGGGCGCUUUGGCUUUGGCAGCGGUCCAAGUUCCUUGGAACAGGACGUCACAGAGGGUGAGAAUCCCGUACGUGGUCGCUGGCUAUUGCCGUGUAAAGCCCCUUCGACGAGUCGAGUUGUUUGGGAAUGCAGCUCUAAAUGGGAGGUACAUUUCUUCUAAAGCUAAAUAUUGGCCAGAGACCGAUAGCGCACAAGUAGAGUGAUCGAAAGAUGAAAAGCACUUUGGAAAGAGAGUCAAACAGCACGUGAAAUUGUUGAAAGGGAAGCGCUUGCAGCCAGACUUGCUUGCAGUUGCUCAUCCGGGUUUUUACCCGGUGCACUCUUCUGUAGGCAGGCCAGCAUCAGUUUGGGCGGUAGGAUAAAGGUCUCUGUCACGUACCUCCUUUCGGGGAGGCCUUAUAGGGGAGACGACAUACUACCAGCCUGGACUGAGGUCCGCGCAUCUGCUAGGAUGCUGGCGUAAUGGCUGUAAGCGGCCCGUCUUGAAACACGGACCAAGGAGUCUAACAUCUAUGCGAGUGUUUGGGUGUCAAGCCCGAGCGCGUAAUGAAAGUGAACGGAGGUGGGAACCCGCAAGGGUGCACCAUCGACCGAUCCUGAUGUCUUCGGAAGGAUUUGAGUAAGAGCAUGGCUGUUGGGACCCGAAAGAUGGUGAACUAUGCUUGAAUAGGGUGAAGCCAGAGGAAACUCUGGUGGAGGCUCGCAGCGGUUCUGACGUGCAAAUCGAUCGUCAAAUUUGGGCAUAGGGGCGAAAGACUAAU
rnacentral:rRNA from 2 species